UAAUGUCACAAAAAGAAAAGAUAUUAAAACAUGCCAGUCAAGUCAAGUCGAAGUUUCUUCUCUCGUGCUUCGAAUAGAGUUCGAACCUUUUGAAUGGAAACAGAGAGGUGGUGAGCGGCGGCAGGCAUGCUCCUUCUCCUGGGAGAAGAGGAGGGCAGGGCUGGGCCUCGAGGCGGCGGCGGCGCCGGCGGCGGACUGCGCGCGGCGGCGCAGGGACGGGGGGAGGCGUUAGAGGCCUUGGGCCCACAAGCUCUAAAGUAGUACGAAAGGGACACCACAACCCGCGGGCGUAAGCCAUAUCGUAAGCUCUCUCGGCAGCAAGACGCCGGCGCUUUCAAGUUGAGAGAUCACCAAACGCCACGGUCCCCAGGCUCCGGCUCUAUAGGAGCGCACACCUUUUGACUAUUCUCUUAGCCUUGGCACAGGUUCAGCGUCUUCGAACAGUUUACAUAAUUCCCAAACAGAUUACAUUUCCUCCUCCAAAUACCACGAGAACUAAGUAAACAACGUACCCUUGACCUCAAAGGGAACUAUCGCCAUUUCUUUCGUGACUUCUGCGAACUUCUACUCUUCCUUACCUUUUCUUAUUAAGUCCAAUAGUUCACCUACAAGUUAUUUCCAGUUCCCUUCUGGUACCCUUCGAUAGUUUGAAAUAAUUUACGAAAUCAGCUCCUACCUGCUUAACUCCUUCGUCUUCUCGAUAAAGUUUUCUAUAAGAGCUCUAUGUACCUCCCAAACGGGGCAUAAAAAAAGUACUUUUAUUAGAGGAACAUAAUGUCUAACCCCAGUAUGCUCUUCUACAAACUCCAAAAACGACUAUACCUUCUCGACCCACAAGCUGGACUAUGGAGCUAACAGUCCUACGAGCCACUACAUAAAUACUUCGAUCUCUACAACCUGUUUAUGCUUUUCAAUUUAUCCUUUAUAGGUGGCGGUUUUAAACUUAUGGCUAUGUAGUUUCCGUUCGCGUAUUCCUAUUCCCAAAUAGGUCUGCUAUCAUGACUUCUCCAUUGUGUCUCUCUGAGACCAUCUCUACUUGGCCUUCUACGUCCUUCGUACUUAGGACUGUUACUUAACUUUCUUCACGGUCCUUGUCCGGACCUGUACUUACAUAAUCCGCUACGCCGAAGACCUCUGGAACUUAAACACAUCGAGUCUUGAACUUACACCGCAAAAGCACAGACGAAGUAGUAUCGUCAACACGGCGUUGAGAAAGUUAUUAGAUCGUUAUAAUCCGGUGAGAACGGUAUAAACCUUUGUUGUCGACAGGUCGUUAAACUGACUUCUACAGGUCGACAAGUCAUUUACUAUACCAUACAAGAUCCCUGGACUACUAUCAAGUAAAGGUCCUGUUCGAAAUAAAUUAAAAGAAGUCUUUCUAUACAUCAAUUAGUAGAAACCGUACUCCGUCCUAUGUCAGGAACUACAGAAACAACACAACAUAAGUAGUUCUUAACACGUAACCACGCCCUCUCUCCGUCGAGUAGGACCUAUGUAACGUUCAAAAGUGGUACAGGACUCUGCCUACCUGAAUUUUAGGACUGAUGCCAGUGUGCUCUACGAAACCCAUUACAAGUUGACAAAGUCCUUUGUACAUGUUCAUAAUAAACAUCGUGAUCGUAAUCUGUCAUCAUGCAUAGACUUUACCUUACCAACAUGAUCUUUUGGAAUCUACAAUCAUUAUAGCUAGCCCACAACAUCUACUUAGAAAACGGCGAAAGUCGCAGCAGAAUGUAAUGGAGGAACAAACUUUUUUGCACUUCGCGGUCAAGUCUAUCAUCGUAUAUCGAUACCUAAACAUCGCUUAGUCCAAAUAACGAGACGUUAAGAGUUUGCACCGGGACAAUCUAUGUAACUUCCCAAGAACUCGUCGAUGAGCGGUUAUUCCCUUAGUUUACGACGUCCAAUGACCUUUAAAUGUCACAGAUUAGACACGUGCAUGCCAAGUAUCGGUUUCUCCCUAUCCACGACAUUUCUACACGUUUCUGGUACAGAACAACUUAGUGUAACACUAGUUUAGUAAACGAGAUUUGAUGGUUAUCGUGUUAGUUAACUAAUAAAAGAAUAUAAAACGUUCGUUGUUCGUAUACUAUGAUCUUGGUUGUUUCGCCGUGUGUUCUGGUACACAACAAGGUACACGUCUCGUAUCGUUAGAAGAUUCGUUGUCAAACUGGUAGGG
rnacentral:rRNA from 1 species